rnacentral:rRNA from 1 species
CCUACGGGAGGCUGCAGUGGGGAAUAUUGGACAAUGGGGGCAACCCUGAUCCAGCCAUGCCGCGUGUGUGAAGAAGACCCUCGGGUUGUAAAGCACUUUCAGUGAGGAAGAACGCCUGGUGGUUAAUACCCAUCAGGAAAGACAUCACUCACAGAAGAAGCACCGGCUAACUCCGUGCCAGCAGCCGCGGUAAUACGGAGGGUGCGAGCGUUAAUCGGAAUUACUGGGCGUAAAGCGCGCGUAGGUGGCUUGAUAAGCCGGUUGUGAAAGCCCCGGGCUCAACCUGGGAACGGCAUCCGGAACUGUCAAGCUAGAGUGCAGGAGAGGAAGGUAGAAUUCCCGGUGUAGCGGUGAAAUGCGUAGAGAUCGGGAGGAAUACCAGUGGCGAAGGCGGCCUUCUGGACUGACACUGACACUGAGGUGCGAAAGCGUGGGUAGCAAACAGGAUUAGAUACCCUAGUAGUC